GAAACCAAAAUAAAAUGACUUGUGGUUUUCCCCAUGUCCUCUUGCGUUGUAAGUAAAUACCUUCAUAGAGACUCCAUUUCUCCAAACCCUAUUUAUUCCCCAUUCUUUGCAGAAAAAUGCUGGUACAUUUUUACCCCAGGAGGCACAGCCACCCCAGAGCCACACAGCAAUGGAUACUUAAGAAUAAGGCUGUACAGGAGGCAUGGCUGGGGAGGCCUCAGGAAACAUACAAUCAUGACAGAAGAUGAAGGGGAAGCAAGCAUAUCUUACCAUGGUGAUGGAGGAGAGAAAGAAGGAGUGAGUGGGGAGAUGCCACACACUUUUAAACCAUCAGAUCUCAUGAGAACUCCCUGACUAUCACAAGAGGAGCAAGAAGGAAGUCCACUCCCACGAUUUAAUCACCUCUCACCAGGCCCCUCCUCCAACACUGGGGAUUACAAUUUGACAUGAUAUUUGGGUGGAGACACAGAGCCAAACCAUAUCAGUGACUGUAGUUAAUAAUAUAUCGUAUAUUUUUAAAUUGCUCUAAAAAUUGAAUUUCAAAUGUUCUCACCAUAAAGACAUGACAAAUAUGUGAAGUGAUGAUUAUUUUAAUUAGCCUGAUUUGUUAAUGCCACAAUGUAUAAAUGUAUAAAAAUCACGUUUUAACCCAUAAAUACAUGUAAUUGUUAUUUGUCAA
rnacentral:lncRNA from 1 species